GUAGGGAAUAUUGGACAAUGGGGGCAACCCUGAUCCAGCGACGCCGCGUGAGUGAUGAAGGCCUUCGGGUCGUAAAGCUCUGUUGCAGGGGAAGAACACAAUGACGGUACCCUGCUAGAAAGGAUCGGCUAACUUCGUGCCAGCAGCCGCGGUAAGACGAGGGAUCCUAGCGUUGUUCGGAAUUAUUGGGCGUAAAGCGGGUGCAGGUGGCUUGGUAAGUCAGAUGUGAAAGCCUGGGGCUUAACCCCAGAAGUGCAUUUGAUACUGCCGAGCUUGAGUGCUGGAGAGGCUAUUAGAAUUCCUGGUGUAGUGGUGAAAUACGUAGAUAUCAGGAGGAAUACCGGAGGCGAAGGCGGAUAGCUGGCCAGACACUGACACUCAGACCCGAAAGCGUGGGGAUCAAACAGGAUUAGAAACCCGUGUAGUCC
rnacentral:rRNA from 1 species